rnacentral:ncRNA from 2 species
AGUAAAAAACAGGGGAGCUUGUAAACAGGCUGAGAGGAAGUUGUGAACUUCGACCCGGGAACCUGAUUUGGAUAAUGCCAACGUAGGAAGAAAGAAGAGAUUUCAG